GACGAACGCUGGCGGCGUGCCUAACACAUGCAAGUCGAACGGAGUUAAGACUUCGGUUUUAACUUAGUGGCGAACGGGUGAGUAACGCGUGAGAAACCUGCCUUUCAGUGGGGGACAACAGUUGGAAACGACUGCUAAUACCGCAUAAUGUUAUUUGGGGGCAUCCCUGGAUAACCAAAGCUUUAUGUGCUGAAAGAUGGUCUCGCGUCUGAUUAGCUAGAUGGCGGGGUAACGGCCCACCGUGGCGACGAUCAGUAGCCGGACUGAGAGGUUGGCCGGCCACAUUGGGACUGGGACACGGCCCAG
rnacentral:rRNA from 1 species